rnacentral:lncRNA from 1 species
ACACCUCAAGAACUGGCUGUGCUCGAAGGCUUUGCUGCAUAUGAUGUGGUCAAAGGCGAUCGUUAUGGAAGUGCCUUGGCGACUUGGAAGACCUCUGAGACACCACCCCUCUCUUCAUGGAAAGCCUAAGGUCAUACCUCUCUCUAAAGCUGCUUUACAUGCAAUGGAUUUGUCGUUAUGCUUUUGGAGUCUGCUGUCUGUUUUUGAAUUUUGUGUAAUAAAUCUAUGAUGAUCAUUUUUUAAUGAUCAAAGAAAAAAGAGAGUAGAAGCUCUUUACUUUCAAGAUGUCACUAUUUAUCAACGCUAAUGAAAAGUUUAUGAUAAUGGAGUUUUUAGUGUUGGUUUAGUGAAAAGUUUGGUUUCUUGAAAACAAUAAUAAAAAAAUGUGUUCGAGUAGUGAUAUUAAAAUGUCAUUUUCAUCAUUAUACUCGUGGAUUCUUUAUAUUUUAAAAACGAUUCUUUAUAUAUAUAUAUUUUUUAAAAUUUAUUCUUUGUAUUUGUAUGAACGUAGUUCAACCUUUAACCUCUUAAUCAAGGUAGUCUAUUGACUAUUUUAUGUUUAAUCGAACUAUAUUUACGUUGGCUAUCGAUAAUAAUAGUGUUCAUCCACAAAAAGAUAAUAGCGUUCAUGUAAUUUUUAUACUUUUCACAUUUUAUAAUUAACGUCGUCUUUCCUUGAAGCUAAUAUUGAUGCGCAUGUUCAUAAACACUAUGGUUAAAUUGAAUAUAUACGAUUGAUAGAAUUAUAUUAAUUAGGAGAUGAGGACUCCUUGUGGAGAUGUCAACUCAUUAAUCUAUUGGAUAUUUAUUUAUAUAAAAGAUUUAUAGAACUAUAACAUGAAGUAGUUUUGUAGUUUUGUGAUGAAUUUAUAGAACCAUACCUAAGAACCCAAAUAAUGCACCUAUAUGAACAAGAUGAGUAAUUUAGGCUCUAAUUUGAAAUGUUUGAGUGAGUACGUUAUAAUAGCUUACCUAAACGUAACAAAAAGUAAGGUUUAAACUCUAUUUUUAGCUUAGUGGUUAAACUAAUCAAUUAUUUCUUCCUCCGAUGUCCGAUAACUUGAGUCAUCAACUACCAACUCGAAUGACUACCUUUGGUGACCGACUACAGUGUUCACUUCGACAGAUUCCUUUAGCGACCAACUUCAAUGACCACCUCGUGACCAAUUGUAGUGAUUACUUCGACAACCCAGUCCAACGAAGAUCACCUUCGAACAUAAUUAUGACCACCUCUAAUUACCAACUAUCCAACUCCACAAACCACCUUUUAGCACCUUAAAUGGAUAUAGAGAUCAUAUGAGUUUUAUUUCCCCUUUUUUUUUCUUUUCAUUUACACCUUUCUUUCCUUUUUUAUUUUGUUUCUAUAUAGCAUUUGUUAAUAUAUUGGUAUAUUGAUAGAUAUUGAUUGAAAUCUAUUUAUAAUUAACCAAUAUAAAAUUUUGGUAUAUUUUGUUAAUACUUUUAUGAAUUUUAUCGGAAGAUUAAUUUUCUAAUUAAUAAUUCCGUUAUUUUGAAGUUGGAAGGCCUGCCGGCCAGACAACAGGAAAAAAAAAAGGGUAAAAUUCAUAAAUUGAUUUCAAUUUAUAAAAUUUCGCCGGAAAAAGGGCAAAAAGGUAACCCCCAACGACGCAGCAGCCAUCAGCUACCAACCACCACUAAAUCCGUAGAUAAAUUGACCCAUUCCCCAUCUCCUUCUUCCAAUCCGACCAUUUUUCUUCUCUCCGGCGACCUCAUAAUGGCUUCUCAAGUUCCUAGAAUCAAGCUCGGUUCUCAAGGUCUCGAAGUGUCCGCACAAGGUCUUGGCUGCAUGGGCAUGUCCGCCUUCUACGGCCCUCCCAAGCCCGACUCCGACAUGAUCGCUCUGAUCCACCACGCCGUCGACCGCGGCAUCACUCUUCUCGACACCUCCGACAUCUACGGCCCAUUCACCAACGAAAUCCUCGUCGGUAAGGCUCUCAAGGACGGCUACAGAGACAAGGUCGAACUUGCCACUAAAUUUGGAAUUAGUUUCGCCGAUGGUAAGAGGGAGAUCCGUGGAGACCCUGCCUAUGUGAGAGCCGCUUGCGAGGCUAGUUUGAAGCGUCUCGAUGUUGGCUGCAUCGAUCUCUAUUACCAGCAUCGGAUUGACACCAGGGUUCCGAUUGAAGUCACGGUUUGUUGUUUUCUUCCUUCUACUCUGUUGCUGCUACGUUCUUUGGAUCAGUUUUGCUUGCUAUCAAUUAUAUACUGCGUUUUGGUAUAUUGGUAAUUUGAGGAUUGAGACCAUAAUUUGAGAUGAAAAGUAUGCACUUCCAUUUUCAUGAUUUGGAAAUGAAAGCCCACGUUUACCUUGAAUUUCUGUCUCAUCAAGUUGUAAUUAAGAAUUGCGAGUUGUCAUUAUUUCUGAAGGAUGAUAAUUUCAUGUCUAUUUAAAUAUAGGUAAGCUUUUAUAGGUAGUUACUGUUUAGGUAUAUAUGCCCUUUUCCCCUUCUAUUUCUUGAUCAACUUUUCCUUCAACUUUUCCUACCUAAGAUUUAAUAUUUUACAGGUUUUCUUAAUAUACAAAUGUUGUAGUGUUAGGCAGGUUGUUCUUUGAGUUUAGGAAAGUCUUUCAACUUAUCAUGAUGAUUUCCCUCUUUUGUCUGUGGAAAGAUUGGAGAACUUAAAAAAUUAGUCGAAGAAGGUAAACCAAGUACAUAAUUUAAAAUAACUAUGAAAUGAAAAUUUAAAAUUAGUUUUAAUAGUGAUGAAAAUGUAAUGAGAAAGUAGGGAUUAAAAAUGCAAUAUGGAUUGUCAUAUGUGUAUAUAUUGAUUUGAUUAUAGAUUGGGGAGCUGAAGAAACUGGUUGAAGAAGGGAAAAUAAAGUAUAUAGGUUUAUCUGAAGCUUCAGCUUCCACAAUAAGAAGAGCACAUGCUGUUCAUCCAAUAACAGCUGUGCAGCUUGAGUGGUCAUUGUGGUCAAGAGAUGUAGAGGAAGAGAUCAUUCCUACUUGCAGGUGAGGAUUUAUUAGUGCCAGUAUCUAACCUUUUGCUAGAUUGAUUGUUGACCUCAAUAUUAUUUUUUCAAUUGUCAAAGGGAACUUGGCAUUGGAAUUGUGGCAUACAGCCCUCUUGGACGAGGCUUCUUCUCUUCUGGGCCCAAGCUCGUCGAAGGUCUCGAAGAUAAUGAUUUCCGAAAGGUUUGCAUCUAAUUGUUUAGCUUGUACUAAAUUGGCUUUAUUUUGUUUGAAUGAAGUUUAGGAUCCUUUUGUUUAUGUAAUACAAGUUUAGCUCAUAAUUUCAAAGAUGAUCAAGCUGUUUUGUGAUUGGCAACCCUGUCUGCUGGUGUUUCUCAACCGUUAAAUUAAGUAUAGAGUGGCCAGUGGAAAGUAUCAUUGAAUUAUUCUUAACGCAUACUACGGGGUUCUAUUGAGAAUUAAAUCAUUAAUUUGAUACUUUCUUUUCUAUUCUAAUGUAAAGUUUGAGAACGACGUGAGUUUCUUAUAUGACAAAGAGACAUAGCAUCAGCAUCUGUUAAAGUUAAACUGCUCCCUGGUUAUAUUUAAACUAUUCAGUUUCAAAAUAUUUAUAGUCUGCAUUACUCUUUAUCUUAUCAAGUUGUAAUAAUUUUUUUGUCACUUCCGUUCUUGAUAGAUAGUGAUUUCUAUGGUUUUUCUAUUCCGUUGGUUGCUUUUUCACUUUACAAUCAAUGCUGAAGCUUAACUGUCUAUGAACAUGCUCUUCUUGAGUUAAUAAGAUUCUGUUUUAAAUGUCUUAUAUUCUGUGUAGCAUUUGCCGCGGUUCCAAGGCGAAAAUCUAGAGCACAAUAAAACUGUGUUUGAGAAGGUCAGUGCUAUAGCAGAAAGAAAAGGAUGCACCACAUCGCAGCUGGCCUUGGCCUGGGUUCACCACCAAGGGGACGAUGUGUGUCCAAUUCCCGGAACAACUAAGAUUGAAAAUCUCAACCAGAACAUUGGAGCUUUAACGGUAAAACUCACAUCUGAAGAACUGGCUGAGCUCGAAGGCUUUGCUGCAGAUGAUGUGGUCAAAGGCGAUCGAUAUCAAAGUGCCUUUGCGACAUGGAAGACCUCUGAGACACCACCCCUCUCUUCAUGGAAAGCCUAAGGUCAUACCAUUGUCUAAAGCUGCUUUACAUGAUGCUAUGGACAUGUCAUUAGUUUUUGGAGUCUGCUGUCUGUUUUCGAAUUGUAUAAUAAAUCUAUGAUCAUUUUUAAUAAUCAAAGAAAAAAGAUAAUAGAAGCAUCUUUACUUUUAUAAGAGC